rnacentral:rRNA from 1 species
CCUACGGGUGGCAGCAGUGGGGAAUAUUGCGCAAUGGGCGAAAGCCUGACGCAGCCACGCCGCGUGAGUGAUGAAGGCCUUCGGGUUGUAAAGCUCUGUCGGGAGGGACGAAGGGGAAACCCUGACGGUACCUCGCAAGAAAGCACCGGCUAACUCUGUGCCAGCAGCCGCGGUAAUACAGAGGGUGCAAGCGUUGCUCGGAUUUACUGGGCGUAAAGCGUACGCAGACGGUGAGAAAGGUCGGAUGUGAAAGCCCCGGGCUCAACCCGGGAACUGCAUCCGAAACCAUCUCGCUAGAGUGUGGGAGAGGGAAGUGGAAUUCCUGGUGUAGAGGUGAAAUUCGUAGAUAUCAGGAGGAACACCGGCGGCGAAGGCGGCUUCCUGGCCCAUUACUGACGUUCAGGUACGAAAGCGUGGGUAGCAAACAGGAUUAGAUACCCCAGUAGUC